rnacentral:rRNA from 1 species
GACGAACGCUGGCGGCGUGCCUAAUACAUGCAAGUCGAACGCAGUGGGGACGGGUGAGUAACACGUGGGUAACCUCCCAUCAGAGGGGAUAACACUUGGAAACAGGUGCUAACCCGCUACUGAUGGAUGAACCCGCGGUGCAUUAGCUAGUUGGUGAGGUAACGGCUCACCAAGGCCACGAUGCAUAGCCGACCGGAAGGGGUGAUCGCCCACCGUGGGACUGAGACACGGCCCAUACUCCUACGGGGGGAAGAAGUGGGGAAUCUUCGGCAAUGGACGAAAGUCUGACCGAGCAACGCCGCGUGGGGGAAGAAGGUUUUCGGAUCGUAAGACUCUGUUGUUAGAGAAGCGGUAUCUAACCAGAAAGCCACGGCUAACUACGUGCCAGCAGCCGCGGUAAUAC